rnacentral:rRNA from 1 species
AUUGAACGCUGGCGGCAGGCCUAACACAUGCAAGUCGAGCGGAUGAAGGGAGCUUGCUCCUGGAUUCAGCGGCGGACGGGUGAGUAAUGCCUAGGAAUCUGCCUUGUAGUGGGGGAUAACGUCCGGAAACGGGCGCUAAUACCGCAUACGUCCUGAGGGAGAAAGUGGGGGAUCUUCGGACCUCACGCUAUCAGAUGAGCCUAGGUCGGAUUAGCUAGUUGGUGGGGUAAAGGCCUACCAAGGCGACGAUCCGUAACUGGUCUGAGAGGAUGAUCAGUCACACUGGAACUGAGACACGGUCCAGACUCCUACGGGAGGCAGCAGUGGGGAAUAUUGGACAAUGGGCGAAAGCCUGAUCCAGCCAUGCCGCGUGUGUGAAGAAGGUCUUCGGAUUGUAAAGCACUUUAAGUUGGGAGGAAGGGCAGUAAGUUAAUACCUGGCUGUUUUGACGUUACCAACAGAAUAAGCACCGGCUAACUUCGUG